UAUAAUAUAAAGGUAAUUUGUUAUGGUGUAUUGGAAAAUACUGAGUGAUGUGUCCUCUAUAAUGUUUAUAGAAUCCUACACGACAUGGACAAUUAUCACACUACAAACCGCAGUCAAUAUUGUGAUACUCGAGUAUAUUGGAAUAGAGUAUGAAAAGUAAUCAUUUGUAGGCGUUUUAAUAAACCACCUCCUGCAUGAAUCAUUUCUAUGUGUUUGAACUGUGGUUUUUUGUUUUUUGUUUUUGUUCAGUAAAGACUUUUAAUGUGUGGUGAAUAACUAAAACAUUUAUGUAGUUGAACUUGAUGUAGCUUGAUUACUUUUCUAUUCUUUAAUGACUGGCCUGUUGAGACGCUUUUGAAAAUGGUACAUGUAAGUGAUGUUUUUUCUUCUCUGACCCUACCAGUAAUAGGGUCUGUAAGUCUCGUUGGGUUUCACUUUCGGUUUUACUACUUCCGGGUACAACAACAUGUGGAAUAUAUAAAGUCGUAACAGAGAAUCGGCGCUAAUAUGUAAUUUGGUGUAUUGUUAAGCGAUCGGUUGCAUACAUGAGACUGGGAAAACCCUGACAUGUAGUUUAUUUAGGUUCCUAGUCGAUGCUACAGUAAGGAAGCGGUGGAUACAAAGAUGUAGACACAAAGUUACGAAACCUGCAGAAGCAUCUGCUUGAAACGUACAUGUAGGAACCGAAGUUGAUACUGCUACCAAUAUAUCUGUACCAGACAACAAUGAAGUGGAUCUACAUGAUCACGAGCACACAACAUCAAACCCUCAAGAUUUAAAAAGCUUCCCUUGAAGACUAUGAUGCUGUAAACUUGCAAUGAGAAAUAUACUUGCUUAAUUAAAGGAAACCAUCCUUGACAAUUGGGAACAUCAUAAUUGAAAGAGCCUGGAAAGGGAUCAUGAACACUGUUGGAAGUGUCCAUUCAACUGAAAUAUAAAAGUCAGAAGAAUUGAAGAUUGCAAUAGAUGCAACAGAAGUGACCUAAUAUGACCAAAUUGAUAUGAAUAGCCAGUUUUUCGCUUGCAGUAAUGUCAAGAGUCGCCACAAAGAAAAGACCUUAAUGUGUAUUACACCUAAUGCAGCUUAUUUCCAAUCUGUAUGCUGGAUACAAAUCUAAUUUGGCAAUUGUGAACCAUUGUGGCAUUUUAGAGAAGUUGCAAGUUGGUGAUAUAUUCCUGGCGGACAAAGGAUUUUGUAUAUUUGACAAACUUCCAAAUGACAUGACACUUCUUUCUUACAAAUAAAUCCCACUUCUCAAAAGAAGAUGCACAACUUUGCUAUAAAAUUUCCAGAUGCAGAAUCCAUGUUGGAUGGGAAAAUGAGAGAAUAAUUUUUUUUUUUAAAAUUCCUUAGCCAUAUUCUAUCAUAGUAUAGAUAUUGAUCUGACAAAAUAUUUCAGAUUUGUGUGGAUCAUGUGAAUUUGCAGGUUCCCCUUUUGAAGGAGAUUGCAGAUAAAUCCUACAAACUUAUUAGAUUAAUUGCAUGUAUAUAUAUAUACCUUAAAUCUGCACAUACCUGCCACAUUGAAUUUUUAAAGUUAAAAGUAAUGAAUACCAUAUAUGCAAUAUAACUUUUCUACAUAUUUAUAUAAAUAUAAAGCCUUUUAUAUUCAUAUGAAUAUAAAGCCCUUUGGAACGUCUCCAUCAGAAUGAAAUAUUCUCGAGAGGAACGUUAAACAAUAUACAAUCAAAUAUAAAGCCUUUUGUUCUCAUUCUGAAGGUUUUCAAAUCUGCAUUAUUAAAAAAGAAGUAAAAUCCAUUGUUUUAGUAAAUGCAUGUAAUUGAAUGAUUUUUGUAAAGCUGGACACUGUUUCUAUACAUGUAUACAUGUAUUUUGGUUCAUCUAAAAUAAGAAAAACUCUGUCUAUAAUGUUUAUUCAAUAAAUAUACAUGUAAUUACAUAACUUUGAUAGAUGCACCACUGAUAUCAUAAUAAAGUAUAUGUACAUGUG